rnacentral:rRNA from 1 species
UGGGGAAUUUUGGACAAUGGGCGAAAGCCUGAUCCAGCCAUGCCGCGUGAGUGAAGAAGGCCUUCGGGUUGUAAAGCUCUUUUAGUCGGAAAGAAAAGAUCAUAAUGAACAAUUAUGAUUCAUGACGGUACCGACAGAAAAAGCACCGGCUAACUACGUGCCAGCAGCCGCGGUAAUACGUAGGGUGCGAGCGUUAAUCGGAAUUACUGGGCGUAAAGGGUGCGCAGGCGGUCUUGCAAGUCAGAUGUGAAAGCCCCGGGCUUAACCUGGGAAUUGCGUUUGAAACUACAAGGCUAGAGUGCAGCAGAGGGGAGUGGAAUUCCAUGUGUAGCAGUGAAAUGCGUAGAGAUGUGGAAGAACACCGAUGGCGAAGGCGGCUCCCUGGGUUGACACUGACGCUCAUGCACGAAAGCGUGGGGAGCAAACA